AUGGCCACAUCACAUUGAAACACAGGCUCCCAUACAAUCACCAAAGAUAAGCAAUGUUGAGUCUUGUCAGUACCUAGAUGGGUGACUAUUUAGGAAUACCAGGUGCUACAAG